GGAGAGAUGGCUCAGCGGUUGAGAGCACUGACUGCUCUUCCAGAGAUCCUGUGUUCAAUUCCCAGCAACCACA
rnacentral:tRNA from 1 species